GACGAACGCUGGCGGCGUGCUUAACACAUGCAAGUCGAACGCUGAGGCCCUGUGCUUGCACUGUGCGCGUGAGUGGCGCACGGGUGUGUAAUACGUGUGUACCCUCCUCUAGAUUCUGGUAUAUGCCUGAGACACUGGGUCUAAUACUAUAUACGACAUUCCACUGCAUGGGGGUGUGGGGAGAGGGGUUUGCUGGUUUUGGAUGGACUCCCGGCCUAUCAGCUUGUUGGUGGGGUAAUGGCCUACCAAGGCGACGACGGGUAGCCGGCCUGAGAGGGUGACCGGCCACAUUGGGACUGAGAUACGGCCCAGACUCCUACGGGAGGCAGCAGUGGGGAAUAUUGCACAAUGGGCGGAAGCCUGAUGCAGCAACGCCGCGUGAGGGAUGACGGCCUUCGGGUUGUAAACCUCUUUCGCCAGGGAAGAAGCGAGAGUGACGGUAAGGGGUAAAGAAGCGCCGGCUAACUACGUG
rnacentral:rRNA from 1 species